rnacentral:rRNA from 1 species
UACGUAGGGGGCUAGCGUUGCUCGGAAUUACUGGGCGUAAAGGGCGCGUAGGCGGUUUGGCUUGUUAGGUGUGAAAUUCCUGGGCUUAACCUGGGGGCUGCACUUAAUACGGCCAGGCUUGAGUGUGAAAGAGGGUCGUGGAAUUCCCAGUGUAGAGGUGAAAUUCGUAGAUAUCGGGAGGAACACCAGUAGCGAAGGCGGCUCGCUGGGCCAUUCCUGACGCUGAGACGCGAAAGCUAGGGGAGCGAACAGG